AAAUAUAAGGGAUAUUUGCAGCAAAACUCCAUAAUCUUUUCGAGUUCACGCAGCAAUAUACUCCAAUAAAAAAAAUGUGACAGCAAUACCCCCGACUGCUACAUUUUCCUUAUAGCCGUCCACUUUGGACCGUUAAGUGCCAAUGAGGAACACGUGGCAUGAAUUCAUUUGUCCACGUGGAUGUUUACAUGUCCAUUACUUAAUGACAUGGACUUAUUUACUAAAACUAAAAAUUAAUAAAUAUUAAAACUUUAAUUUAAUUAAUAUAUUAAAUUAACCUAAAUCUAAAACUGGUGAAAAAAAAAAAGCAAACCCUAAAUCUAAUUCCUUCAAUCGCCUCCCCUCCUCCUCCUCCUCCUCCUCCUUCUUUAUUUUUUUUUUUCUUCUUCUUCUUCUUCUUCUUCUUUCUCAAGUUUUGGGAUGAGAGCACGAUGUUGGUGCAAGAUGCAAAGAUGGAGGGUUGCACAGACAUUGUCGAGGACGCCAACUAAGAGCAUUGGUGCAAGAUGCGAAGACGAAGGACUCCCCAACUACUCUGAUAGCCGUUGCAAACUCCAAUGGCCAACACCUUCAGAUCUAGGUUUGGAGAAGAUGAAUAGGAGGAGCAUUUGUGAGAUGACCGAGGUGCUUGCAACUUGGGCUCCAUGAACAACAAUGGUGGAGCUCCAUGGCGAACAAAUUUGGGCAUGUGCGGCACAAGAACAAAUCUGCCUUUUCUUGUUCUUUUCAUUAGUUCUUCGGUUGAACUUUUUUUCCUUUGUUCUUGUUUACUAUUUAGUUGAUUUCCCCAUCAAAAUGUUGGGUAUUUGAGCAGUUUUGUUUGUGUUGUUGUGAGUAUUGCUCUUAAAUUUUUUGGAUAUUUAUUGAACAUCAAUGAUAUUUUGUUUUUUAAAUUUAUGCGUUAGUUUGUAUUGAGUGUCGAUUAUACUGGGUAUUAAACUUUCUGGAUUUGUAUUGAGUAUUGAUUAUACUGGGUAUUAAACUUUUUGGGUUUGUAAUGGGUAUUGAUUGUACUGGGUAUAAAUUUCUGGGUUUGUAAUGGGUAUUGUUUUUGGUAUUGAAUUCAUGGUUGUGUU